rnacentral:rRNA from 1 species
UACAGAGGUGGCAAGCGUUGUUCGGAAUUACUGGGCGUAAAGGGCGCGUAGGCGGUCUUCUAAGUCUUGUGUGAAAUCCCUCGGCCCAACUGAGGAACUGCGCCCGAGACUGCUUCUCUUGAGUCCCGGAGAGGAAGAUGGAAUUCCCGGUGUAGCGGUGAAAUGUGUAGAGAUCGGGAGGAACACCGGUGGCGAAGGCGGUCUUCUGGACGGUGACUGACGCUGAGGCGCGAAAGCGUGGGGAGCAAACGGG